rnacentral:rRNA from 1 species
UUGAUCCUGGCUCAGAAUCAACGCUGGCGGCGUGCCUAACACAUGCAAGUCGAACGCGAAAGCCCCGCAAGGGGUAAGUAGAGUGGCAAACGGGUGAGUUACACGUGGGUGACCUGCCUUCGAGUGGGGGAUAACGUCCCGAAAGGGACUCUAAUACCGCAUGAUAUCCUGCCUUUGGAAAGGUGGAGAUCAAAGCCGGUGAUCGCAAGACCUGGCGCUUGAAGAGGGGCCCGCGCCUGAUUAGCUAGUUGGUGGGGUAACGGCCUACCAAGGCGACGAUCAGUAUCCGGCCUGAGAGGUCGGACGGACACACUGGGACUGAGACACGGCCCAGACUCCUACGGGAGGCUGCAGUGGGGAAUUGUUCGCAAUGGGCGCAAGCCUGACGACGCAACGCCGUGUGGAGGACGAAGAUCUUCGGGUCGUAAACUCCUGUCGAGUGGGAAGAAUGGUUCGGGGAUGAAUAAUCCCCGGAAUUGACGGUACCACUAAAGGAAGCUCCGGCUAACUCCGUGCCAGCAGCCGCGGUAAUAAGGU